CCUACGGGUGGCAGCAGUAGGGAAUCUUUCACAAUGGGCGAAAGCCUGAUGGAGCAACGCCGCGUGCAGGAUGAAGGCCUUCGGGUUGUAAACUGCUUUUAUAAGCGAGAAAUAUGAUGGUAACUUAUGAAUAAGGAUCGGCUAACUACGUGCCAGCAGCCGCGGUCAUACGUAGGAUCCGAGCAUUAUCCGGAGUGACUGGGGGUAAAGAGUUGCGUAGGUGGCAUAAUAAGUAGCUAGUGAAAUCUGGUGGCUCAACCAUUCAGACUAUUAGCUAAACUGUUAAUCUCGAGACCGUUAGGGGUAACUGGAAUUUCUAGUGUAGGAGUGAAAUCCGGAGAUAUUAGAAGGAACACCAAUAGCGUAGGCAGGUUGCUGGGACGGUUCUGACACUAAGGCACGAAAGCGUAGGGAGCAAACGGGAUUAGAUACCCUAGUAGUC
rnacentral:rRNA from 1 species